GUUUAAAAAAAAAAGAAAAGAAGAAGAAAAAUAGAGGAGAGGGUGGAGCAGAGGAGACGAACGACGAAGGUUCAAGAAGGGAGAACGCCGACGGUUAUGAUCAAGGGAAGUUGAUGAAUCCUCAUGAAGAAGAAUACAUGGGGUGCUGAGAGGAAAGAAAGAUCAAGAAGAAGGUGGGAAGAAGAG